UACGUAGGGGGCAAGCGUUGUCCGGAUUUAUUGGGCGUAAAGAGCGUGUAGGCGGCCAGGUAGGUCGGUUGUGAAAACUCGAGGCUCAACCUCGAGAUGUCGGCGGAAACCAUCUGGCUAGAGUCCGGAAGAGGAAAGUGGAAUUCCUGGUGUAGCGGUGAAAUGCGCAGAUAUCAGGAAGAACACCCGUGGCGAAGGCGGCUUUCUGGGACGGUACUGACGCUGAGACGCGAAAGCGUGGGGAGCGAACAGG
rnacentral:rRNA from 1 species